UGGACAUUUACAAUGAUGAGGAGCUGAUUCAGAGGUUUCGAUUUUGUCGGAGAGAUAUAUAUGAACUUGUUGAAGAGCUGUCACCCGACUCACAGUUUGUGUCGGAUCACAACGCAGCAUUGACACCUGCAUUACAGCUGUUAAUAGCGCUACGUUUUUAUGCAAAUGGUGCGUUUCAAAACACUGUUGGAGACACGAUUAAUGUCCACAAAUCCACCGCAUGUCGGGCCAUCUGCAGAGUGUCACUGGCACUGAGCCGUCGCCUUCCACGAUCUGCUCACCUCCCCACUGAGGCCAAGUCUGCGGUGAUGAAACACCGAUUCCUCCGGGCCUCUGGCAUUCCUGGUAUUGUGGGCUGCAUCGAUGGGACUCACAUCCGGAUCCAGGCACCAUCUGAGCAUGAGUAUCUAUGGCCUGGAUCUACCCAUGACGCACGCAUCCUCCGAGAGAGUGCGUUAUACCAGGAUUUCGAGGCUGGAAGAGUAAAUGGGCUGCUUCUCGGUGACAGUGGAUACCCACUGAAACACUGGCUGAUGACUCCUAUAAUUGCUCCGAGGACUGAGCAAGAACGACGGUAUAACACCAUCCACACCACCACUAGGUCCCUCGUUGAGCGGUGCAUCGGAGUCCUCAAGCGCAGGUAAAAUUCUUUCCGCGUGUCUGUGCCGCUAUCCAUGGUGCUGAUAUAGUGUGGUCACUAGAUCACUGAAAACUAUAUAAAUAGACUAGGCCUAGGCUAUAUAAAACUCGCCAAACGUGACACAUUUAGGUUUUACAAUAGCCUAAUCAUUAAUUCUUUUUUCUAGGUUUCAUUGUCUUCAUGGAGAGAUGCGGAUGCACCCUGAGCGAGUCUGCAUCGUAAUAGCAGCGUGCACUGUCCUCCACAACAUCUGUGUCACCAAGAGGAUCCCUCUCCCUAGGCAACACCAUCAGCCGGUGCCGGAGGAAGGUGCCGACCCUGUGGACCAUGCAGGGCAUGAAGAUGUCGGUGGACGACUAGUCCGUACACGUAUUAUUAAUGCUUUAUAAAUGUUGUAAACUAUUGCUUCACUUAAAAUAAUUCUGCCAUAAAAAAUAAGCCACAAAGAAAGUCCAGUAGGUUUAUAAUAAACUCUUUUUUAAUUUACA